UAAUACAGAAUCCCCAAGCGUUAUCCGGAUUUACUGGGCGUAAAGGGUCCGUAGGCGGCCCGGAAAGUCCUUGGUCAAAGCCCGGAGCUCAACUUCGGGAACGCCAGGGAUACUUCCGGGAUAGAGGGCGUUAGAGGCUGACGGAACGGCCGGUGUAGGGGUGAAAUCCGUUGAUAUCGGCCGGAACACCAAAAGCGAAGGCAGUCAGCUGGGACGACCCUGACGUUGAGGGACGAAAGCGUGGGGAGAGAACGGGAUUAGAUACCCCGGUAUUCCACGCCCUAAACGAUGGACACUGGCUGCUUGAAGUGUCGACCCUUCAGUGGCGAAGCUAACGCGUUAAGUGUCCCGCCUGGGAAGUACGGCGGCAACGUUA
rnacentral:rRNA from 1 species